rnacentral:rRNA from 1 species
AUGAACGCUAGCGGCAGGCUUAACACAUGCAAGUCAGGGGCAUCGAGAGUAGCAAUACUUGUCGGCGACCGGCGCAAGGGUGCGUAACACGUGAGCAACAUACCCGUUUCAGGAGGAUAACCGGAGGAAACUCUGCCUAAUACUCCAUGACAUCGUCAAACGGCAUCGUUUGAUGAUUAAAGAUUUAUCGGAAACGGCUUGGCUCGCGGGACAUUAGCUCGUUGGUGAGGUAACGGCUCACCAAGGCGACGAUGUCUAGGGGUUCUGAGAGGAAGGUCCCCCACACUGGAACUGAGACACGGUCCAGACUCCUACGGGAGGCAGCAGUGAGGAAUAUUGGACAAUGGUCGGAAGACUGAUCCAGCCAUGCCGCGUGAAGGUUACUGUCCUAUGGAUAUUAAACUUCUUUUGUAUGAGAGCAAUAAGGUGCACGUGUGCACCGAUGAGAGUAUCAUACGAAUAAGCAUCGGCUAACUCCGUG